UGGGGUGAAGGCCCACCAAGGCUUCGACGGGUAGCCGGCCUGAGAGGGCGACCGGCCACAUUGGGACUGAGAUACGGCCCAGACUCCUACGGGAGGCAGCAGUGGGGAAUAUUGCACAAUGGGCGAAAGCCUGAUGCAGCGACGCCGCGUGCGGGAUGAAGGCCUUCGGGUUGUAAACCGCUUUUGAUUGGGAGCAAGCGAGAGUGAGUGUACCUUUCGAAUAAGCACCGGCUAACUACGUGCCAGCAGCCGCGGUAAUACGUAGGGUGCAAGCGUUAUCCGGAAUUAUUGGGCGUAAAGAGCUCGUAGGCGGCUUGUCGCGUCUGGUGUGAAAGUCCAUCGCUUAACGGUGGAUCUGCGCCGGGUACGGGCAGGCUAGAGUGCGGUAGGGGAGAUUGGAAUUCCCGGUGUAACGGUGGAAUGUGUAGAUAUCGGGAAGAACACCAAUGGCGAAGGCAGAUCUCUGGGCCGUUACUGACGCUGAGGAGCGAAAGCAUGGGGAGCGAACAGGAUUAGAUACCCUGGUAGUCCAUGCCGUAAACGGUGGAUGCUGGAUGUGGGGCCCAUUCCACGGGUUCCGCGUCGGAGCUAACGCGUUAAGCAUCCCGCCUGGGGAGUACGGCCGCAAGGCUAAAACUCAAAGAAAUUGACGGGGGCCCGCACAAGCGGCGGAGCAUGCGGAUUAAUUCGAUGCAACGCGAAGAACCUUACCUGGGCUUGACAUGUUCAUGACGGUCGCGGAGACGCGGCUUCCCUUCGGGGCAGGUUCACAGGUGGUGCAUGGUCGUCGUCAGCUCGUGUCGUGAAAUGUUGGGUUAAGUCCCGCAACGAGCGCAACC
rnacentral:rRNA from 1 species